rnacentral:rRNA from 1 species
CAAUAGCGUAUAUUAAAGUUGUUGCAGUUAAAAAGCUCGUAGUUGGGUUUCUGGUAGGAGCGACCGUGCCGAACUUGAUUGUUCGAGUAUUGUGCUGUCUUCAGCCAUCCUCGUGGAGAACUUUUCUAACAUUAACUUGUUGGGAUUGGGACCCGCGUCGUUUACUGUGAAAAAAUUAGAGUGUUUAAAGCAGGCAUUAGCUUGAAUACAUUAGCAUGGAAUAAUAAGAUAGGACUUUGGUACUAUUUUGUUGGUUUGCAUACCAAAUUAAUGAUCAACAGGAACAGUUUGAGGAUAUUCGUAUGAACAUGUCAGAGGUGAAAUUCUUGGAUUUUGAUCAGACGAACUACUGCGAAAGCAUUUAUCAAGGAUGUUUUCAUUAA